UAGGGAAUAUUGGACAAUGGGGGCAACCCUGAUCCAGCGAUGCCGCGUGUGUGAAGAAGGCCUGCGGGUUGUAAAGCACUUUAGUUGGGGAGGAAAGGUAUGUACUGCAUAAGUGCAUGCUGUGACGUUACCCAAAGAAUAAGCACCGGCAAACUCUGUGCCAGCAGCCGCGGUAAUACAGAGGGUGCAAGCGUUAAUCGGACUUACUGGGCGUAAAGCGCAUGUAGGUCGAUAUUUAAGUCGGGUGUGAAAGCCCCGGGCUCAACCUGGGAAUAGCAUUCGAUACUGAAUAUCUAGAGUAUGGUAGAGGGAAGUGGAAUUUCCGGUGUAGCGGUGAAAUGCGUAGAUAUCGGAAAGAACACCAGUGGCGAAGGCGUCUUCCUGGACCAAUACUGACACUAAAGUGCGAAAGCGUGGGGAGCAAACAGGAUUAGAUACCCCGGUAGUCCCUGAGCGGGCUGGCAAGGCGCAU
rnacentral:rRNA from 1 species